UACGUAGGGUGCGAGCGUUAAUCGGAAUUACUGGGCGUAAAGCGUGCGCAGGCGGUUCGCUGUGUCGGGGGUGAAAUCCCCGGGCUUAACCUGGGAAUGGCCAUGGAAACUGGCGAACUGGAGUGCGGCAGAGGGGGGUGGAAUUCCGCGUGUAGCAGUGAAAUGCGUAGAGAUGCGGAGGAACACCGAUGGCGAAGGCAGCCCCCUGGGCUGGCACUGACGCUCAGGCACGAAAGCGUGGGGAGCAAACAGG
rnacentral:rRNA from 1 species